rnacentral:rRNA from 1 species
AUGCAUGACAUCGAAGCAAUCUUCAAUGAGGAGGAGGUGUGGUCAGUGAUUAAGGAGCUGCACCCUGAUCGUGCCCCAGGACCACCAGAUGGUUUCGUCGGCAAGUUCUAUGAGUGUGUGUGGCCAAUUAUCAAGCAUGACAUCAUGGCGGUGCUAGUGAAUCUCUUUGUGGGUUAUGGCAGAGGGUUUUCCAAGUUGAACUGUGCUCUCAUCGUUCUCAUACAAAAGAAAGUGGAUGCCGGAUAUGUGGGUGACUUCCGGCCUAUCAGUUUGCCACAUAGAAUGUCCAAACUCUUUGCAAAACCCUUUGCAUCGAGACUGAGGCGUCACAUGAAGGAUUUAGUGGCUUUCAACGGGUCUUCAUUCAUCAAACGAAGAAAUCUCCACGACAAUUUUCUACUGGUGCGCCAAGUUGCAGAGAAGAUGUCGCAGAGGAAGUGCCAAAGGUGUUUUCCUUAA